CAGAGAAUAUCGCCCUCACGGGUGACUCUCCAACCCUAUGUUAUUAUACCCUUGUUGCUUUGGCGAGCCGCCUCGGCCACCGGCUCACGCUGGUGAGUGCUCGCCAGAGGACCCCAAACUCUGAAUGUUAGUGUCGUCUGAGUACUAUAUAAUAGUUA
rnacentral:misc_RNA from 1 species